CCUACGGGUGGCAGCAGUAGGGAAUCUUUCACAAUGGGCGAAAGCCUGAUGGAGCAACGCCGCGUGCAGGAUGAAGGCCUUCGGGUUGUAAACUGCUUUUAUAAGCGAGAAAUAUGAUGGUAACUUAUGAAUAAGGAUCGGCUAACUACGUGCCAGCAGCCGCGGUCAUACGUAGGAUCCGAGCAUUAUCCGGAGUGACUGGGUGUAAAGAGUUGCGUAGGUGGCAUAAUAAGUAGCGAGUGAAAUCUGGUGGCUCAAACAUCCAGACUAUUUGUUAAACUGUUAGGCUAGAGUCCGUUAGAGGUAGGUGGAAUUCUUGGUGUAGGGGUGAAAUCCGUAGAUAUUAGGAGGAACACCAAUAGCGAAGGCAGGUUGCUGGAACGGUACUGACACUAAGGCACGAAAGCGUAGGGAGCAAACGGGAUUAGAUACCCCAGUAGUC
rnacentral:rRNA from 1 species